GGUUUCUCCCUUCUGACGAACCAUGAUGUCAUUUAUUUGGUGUUGUGGGGAAUCAGGACUGUUACUUUGAAAAAAUUAGAGUGUUUAAAGCAGGCUCACGCUUGAAUACAUUAGCAUGGAAUAAUGAAAUAGGACUUUUGAUUCUAUUUUGUUGGUUUCUAGGAUCGACGUAAUGAUUAAUAGGGAUAGUUGGGGGCAUUAGUAUUCAAUUGUCAGAGGUGAAAUUCUUGGAUUUAUUGAAGACUAACUACUGCGAAAGCAUUUGCCAAGGAUGUUUUCAUUAAUCAAGAACGAAAGUUAGGGGAUCGAAGACGAUCAGAUACCGUCGUAGUCUUAACCAUAAACUAUGCCGACUAGGGAUCGGAUGAUGUUAAUUUUUUAAUGACUC
rnacentral:rRNA from 1 species